rnacentral:rRNA from 1 species
UACGGAGGGUGCGAGCGUUGUCCGGAAUCACUGGGCGUAAAGGGCGCGUAGGCGGCUCGUUAAGUGGCUGGUGAAAUCCCGGGGCUCAACUCCGGGGCUGCCGGUCAUACUGGCGAGCUGGAGCACGGUAGAGGCGGAUGGAAUUCCCGGUGUAGCGGUGGAAUGCGUAGAUAUCUGGAGGAACACCGGUGGCGAAGGCGGCAUCCUGGACCGACACGUGACGCUGAGGAGCGAAAGCCAGGGGAGCAAACGGG